rnacentral:lncRNA from 1 species
CUCUACAAUUGUUUAUAUUUCUUUUGUAUUUAUUCGUCAGAUUAAUUCUGAGUCUAUCGUGGUUAGUGAUGUGCCUUUGGAUGUUUCGUCGAUCGUAAACGUUGAAUCGAGGUCUCUUGAACGGGAUGAAGCCCCACGGAUGAGUGAAACGGAAUAGGAAAUCGGGAUGGAGAUAAUUCUCGUGAAAAGGUUAUCUAAAGGAACUCCUUUGAAACGCAGUGAGUUCGUUAAUUUUGAAUAGAGUUGACAUAAAGAAUAAAAUAGAGGUGACAAGGAUGUUCACUUGGCCACUUAUCUUUGUUAGGUAGACAUAGAAUUCAUAUUCUGAUUUUGAAAUGUUUUAGGCGUCUAUUUUAGAUGAUCUAUUAGUAGAUGAUGUAUUAAAAUCAACCUAGCAAAUAUUAUGGGUGUUUUGGCGAAUGCUUUUCGCUGGGUAUUCAAACUUUUGCAUACAUACCUCGUCACCUCUCUAUUUUUUUCCCUCUAUGACAGGGGUCGCGUAACUUUUUUUUAGCAUUACUCCAAAAGAACUUGAUGAUGUAAUAUUAAUUUCCCCGAAGUAGUGAAGGGGUGUCCGCAGAAUAAUAUAUAUACGAGGUAUGUUCAAAAGAUAAGGUGGCUUUACAAAUUUCGUGGGCAAGCUUCAUUUUGUAGCACGAUAUAUAUUUUUUUUUUGCGUGUUUUUGCAAUGUCCAUUGGGACGAUUGGGCUUUGAUUUCGAUAUCAAAACCUUAUAUCCAUGAUUCGUCACCAGUUAUGACCCUUUUGAACAAAUAAGGAUCAUCAUUGAUGUCUUUCAACAGCUCAUGGGAGAAUUCUUUUGUUCAAUAUUAA